AGCAGCCGCGGUAAUUCCAGCUCCAAUAGCGUAUAUUAAAGUUGUUGCAGUUAAAAAGCUCGUAGUUGAAUUUCGGGACCAAUCUGCCGGUCGUGCCUCCGGUAUGCACUGGUUUUAUUGGUUUCUCCCUUCUGACGAAUCAUGAUGUCAUUAAUUUGGUGUCAUGGGGAAUCAGGACUGUUACUUUGAAAAAAUUUAGAGUGUUUAAAGCAGGCUCACGCUUGAAUACAUUAGCAUGGAAUAAUGAAAUAGGACGUUUGACCCUAUUUUGUUGGUUUCUAGGAUCGACGUAAUGAUUAAUAGGGAUAGUUGGGGGCAUUAGUAUUCAAUUGUCAGAGGUGAAAUUCUUGGAUUUAUUGAAGACUAACUACUGCGAAAGCAUUUGCCAAGGAUGUUUUCAUUAAUCAAGAACGAAAGUUAGGGGAUCGAAGACGAUCAGAUACCGUCGUAGUCUUAACCAUAAACUAUGCCGACUAGGGGAUCGGAUGAUGUUAUUUUUUAAUGACUCAUUCGGCACCUU
rnacentral:rRNA from 1 species